rnacentral:rRNA from 1 species
CCUACGGGUGGCAGCAGUGGGGAAUAUUGGACAAUGGGCGAAAGCCUGAUCCAGCCAUGCCGCGUGUGUGAAGAAGGCCUUCGGGUUGUAAAGCACUUUCAGUGGGGAAGAAAGCCUUGGGGCUAAUACCCUCGAGGAAGGACAUCACCCACAGAAGAAGCACCGGCUAACUCCGUGCCAGCAGCCGCGGUAAUACGGAGGGUGCGAGCGUUAAUCGGAAUUACUGGGCGUAAAGCGCGCGUAGGCGGUCUGAUAAGCCGGUUGUGAAAGCCCCGGGCUCAACCUGGGAACGGCAUCCGGAACUGUCAGGCUAGAGUGCAGGAGAGGAAGGUAGAAUUCCUGGUGUAGCGGUGAAAUGCGUAGAGAUCGGGAGGAAUACCAGUGGCGAAGGCGGCCUUCUGGACUGACACUGACGCUGAGGUGCGAAAGCGUGGGUAGCAAACAGGAUUAGAUACCCGUGUAGUC